GGGUUGUGAGGUUAAGCGACUAAGCGUACACGGUGGAUGCCCUGGCAGUCAGAGGCGAUGAAGGACGUGCUAAUCUGCGAUAAGCGUCGGUAAGGUGAUAUGAACCGUUAUAACCGGCGAUUUCCGAAUGGGGAAACCCAGUGUGUUUCGACACACUAUCAUUAACUGAAUCCAUAGGUUAAUGAGGCGAACCGGGGGAACUGAAACAUCUAAGUACCCCGAGGAAAAGAAAUCAACCGAGAUUCCCCCAGUAGCGGCGAGCGAACGGGGAGCAGCCCAGAGCCUGAAUCAGUAUGUGUGUUAGUGGAAGCGUCUGGAAAGGCGCGCGAUACAGGGUGACAGCCCCGUACACAAAAAUGCACAUGCUGUGAGCUCGAUGAGUAGGGCGGGACACGUGGUAUCCUGUCUGAAUAUGGGGGGACCAUCCUCCAAGGCUAAAUACUCCUGACUGACCGAUAGUGAACCAGUACCGUGAGGGAAAGGCGAAAAGAACCCCGGCGAGGGGAGUGAAAAAGAACCUGAAACCGUGUACGUACAAGCAGUGGGAGCACGCUUAGGCGUGUGACUGCGUACCUUUUGUAUAAUGGGUCAGCGACUUAUAUUCUGUAGCAAGGUUAACCGAAUAGGGGAGCCGAAGGGAAACCGAGUCUUAACUGGGCGUUAAGUUGCAGGGUAUAGACCCGAAACCCGGUGAUCUAGCCAUGGGCAGGUUGAAGGUUGGGUAACACUAACUGGAGGACCGAACCGACUAAUGUUGAAAAAUUAGCGGAUGACUUGUGGCUGGGGGUGAAAGGCCAAUCAAACCGGGAGAUAGCUGGUUCUCCCCGAAAGCUAUUUAGGUAGCGCCUCGUGAAUUCAUCUCCGGGGGUAGAGCACUGUUUCGGCAAGGGGGUCAUCCCGACUUACCAACCCGAUGCAAACUGCGAAUACCGGAGAAUGUUAUCACGGGAGACACACGGCGGGUGCUAACGUCCGUCGUGAAGAGGGAAACAACCCAGACCGCCAGCUAAGGUCCCAAAGUCAUGGUUAAGUGGGAAACGAUGUGGGAAGGCCCAGACAGCCAGGAUGUUGGCUUAGAAGCAGCCAUCAUUUAAAGAAAGCGUAAUAGCUCACUGGUCGAGUCGGCCUGCGCGGAAGAUGUAACGGGGCUAAACCAUGCACCGAAGCUGCGGCAGCGACGCUUAUGCGUUGUUGGGUAGGGGAGCGUUCUGUAAGCCUGUGAAGGUGUACUGUGAGGUAUGCUGGAGGUAUCAGAAGUGCGAAUGCUGACAUAAGUAACGAUAAAGCGGGUGAAAAGCCCGCUCGCCGGAAGACCAAGGGUUCCUGUCCAACGUUAAUCGGGGCAGGGUGAGUCGACCCCUAAGGCGAGGCCGAAAGGCGUAGUCGAUGGGAAACAGGUUAAUAUUCCUGUACUUGGUGUUACUGCGAAGGGGGGACGGAGAAGGCUAUGUUGGCCGGGCGACGGUUGUCCCGGUUUAAGCGUGUAGGCUGGUUUUCCAGGCAAAUCCGGAAAAUCAAGGCUGAGGCGUGAUGACGAGGCACUACGGUGCUGAAGCAACAAAUGCCCUGCUUCCAGGAAAAGCCUCUAAGCAUCAGGUAACAUCAAAUCGUACCCCAAACCGACACAGGUGGUCAGGUAGAGAAUACCAAGGCGCUUGAGAGAACUCGGGUGAAGGAACUAGGCAAAAUGGUGCCGUAACUUCGGGAGAAGGCACGCUGAUAUGUAGGUGAAGUCCCUUGCGGAUGGAGCUGAAAUCAGUCGAAGAUACCAGCUGGCUGCAACUGUUUAUUAAAAACACAGCACUGUGCAAACACGAAAGUGGACGUAUACGGUGUGACGCCUGCCCGGUGCCGGAAGGUUAAUUGAUGGGGUCAGCGCAAGCGAAGCUCUUGAUCGAAGCCCCGGUAAACGGCGGCCGUAACUAUAACGGUCCUAAGGUAGCGAAAUUCCUUGUCGGGUAAGUUCCGACCUGCACGAAUGGCGUAAUGAUGGCCAGGCUGUCUCCACCCGAGACUCAGUGAAAUUGAACUCGCUGUGAAGAUGCAGUGUACCCGCGGCAAGACGGAAAGACCCCGUGAACCUUUACUAUAGCUUGACACUGAACAUUGAGCCUUGAUGUGUAGGAUAGGUGGGAGGCUUUGAAGUGUGGACGCCAGUCUGCAUGGAGCCGACCUUGAAAUACCACCCUUUAAUGUUUGAUGUUCUAACGUGGACCCGUGAUCCGGGUUGCGGACAGUGUCUGGUGGGUAGUUUGACUGGGGCGGUCUCCUCCUAAAGAGUAACGGAGGAGCACGAAGGUUGGCUAAUCCUGGUCGGACAUCAGGAGGUUAGUGCAAUGGCAUAAGCCAGCUUGACUGCGAGCGUGACGGCGCGAGCAGGUGCGAAAGCAGGUCAUAGUGAUCCGGUGGUUCUGAAUGGAAGGGCCAUCGCUCAACGGAUAAAAGGUACUCCGGGGAUAACAGGCUGAUACCGCCCAAGAGUUCAUAUCGACGGCGGUGUUUGGCACCUCGAUGUCGGCUCAUCACAUCCUGGGGCUGAAGUAGGUCCCAAGGGUAUGGCUGUUCGCCAUUUAAAGUGGUACGCGAGCUGGGUUUAGAACGUCGUGAGACAGUUCGGUCCCUAUCUGCCGUGGGCGCUGGAGAACUGAGGGGGGCUGCUCCUAGUACGAGAGGACCGGAGUGGACGCAUCACUGGUGUUCGGGUUGUCAUGCCAAUGGCACUGCCCGGUAGCUAAAUGCGGAAGAGAUAAGUGCUGAAAGCAUCUAAGCACGAAACUUGCCCCGAGAUGAGUUCUCCCUGACUCCUUGAGAGUCCUGAAGGAACGUUGAAGACGACGACGUUGAUAGGCCGGGUGUGUAAGCGCAGCGAUGCGUUGAGCUAACCGGUACUAAUGAACCGUGAGGCUUAACCUUACAACGCCGAAGCUGUU
rnacentral:rRNA from 1 species